UUACUCCAAUCCGUAUAAUACAAUACAAUAUACAGGCGGUAAACGGAACGGGGGUCGUUUUUAUCGCGGAACGAUAGGUAGCUAGAUACUGGAAACGAAUAAACGUACCACUUAUAGAACACAAUACAAGUCACUUGGGGUGACGUUAACCCAUUCAUUAUUUUACGGUCGAGGUGGAACGUGCGGGUAGGUAUAUUCUCGCAGCUAUAUAAUACGGUCAUAAUUUACAUAAAAAAAAAAAAAAGGCAUAUUAUGUAAGGGUACCUACACAGGUGUUAAAAUUACACGUGUUAUAUACAUUCAGAAUACAAAAAUGGCAUACCAUGACGAGUGUAUAUUUAAGGAAAUUAGGUACGUGGAAAUUCGUCAGUUCGAAAAUAUUCAAAUUCACUUACAAACAAAUCUACAAGUAGUUUCGUGAUGGUUAUUAUCAGCACAAGUGUAUUUUACUUUGUUGUUGUUUAAAAACCGAGUGCUAGGGGCCACCAGAAAAAGAGGGGAGAAUUUCCACCACUGUGUAACGUUUUACCAUUAUACUU